rnacentral:tRNA from 1 species
AAGAGGUUAGUUUAAGCAAAACAUUAGACUGUCAGACUAAAGAUACCAUUUAAGUACUUCUUA